rnacentral:pre_miRNA from 1 species
GAAAUCAAGAAUGGGUGGGGCCUGUGAAUAUGAGAGGAGGCGACCCACUCUUGGUUUCCA